rnacentral:rRNA from 1 species
CGCCUGUUUAUCAAAAACAUGGCCUUAGGAAUUUAUCUAAGGUUAUACCUGUCCAAUGUAUAUUAUAAACGGCCGCGGUACUUUGACCGUGCUAAGGUAGCGUAAUCAGUUGGCUCCUAAUUAGGGUCAGGAAUGAAUGGAGUUACGUGGUUCAGCUGUCUCCUAACUAUUUAUUUGAAUUACUAUAUAGAUGAAAAAGUCUAUAAUUCGAAAAAAGACGAGAAGACCCUUAGAGUUUUCUUAAUGUGAUAAAUAUGAUCAUAAUGGUUUUGUUGGGGCAACACGGGAGCAAGACACUAAUCUCUCUAAUAAAUUAAUCGAUUAUUUUAAAUAUGAAUAAACUACCUUAGGGAUAACGCAUUAUGUAAAAAAUAAGUUUGUGACCUCGAUGUUGGACUGGGAAAUUUAAAGGCUAGCCGUCUUUAAAGAAAGUUCUGUUCGAACUAAUAUUCCCACGUGAUCUGAGUUCAGACCGG